GAAUAUUAACAUCGUUUGUGGGAACUCAAAGUUUGCAUCAUGCCCCUUAAUCUUGACUUAGGGGAGAUUUUUAGGAGAUGGAAAAAAAGUUCCACAUUACUUGGAUAUAGAGAUUAAGGGUAUUUAUAUACAACACUCACACAACUCAACCCAACAUAACACCUUUUCUAAAGGAUAAAGUUGUGAGGGUUCUCACACUUA
rnacentral:lncRNA from 1 species